rnacentral:lncRNA from 1 species
GAAUCAUUUACUCCAAGCAAGCGCUGUAACUGAAGCCCGAGCCCAGCCCUCCGUACCACCACAGACUUCUGAAGCUGGGAAAGCUUUAGAAGCUGGGAGUUUUCUGAUUCUCUCAUCAUUAUGUUUCUCCUCAGUCUUUAGAUAGAGAGUUUGGAGUGUUUAAUGUGACCACAUGGCUGAAAUUCAAGCUCAUUGUUUGAUGCUUAGAAAUACUCCAGGAAUCCACUCCAUCUCCACCCUCCCAUCUGCUCCAAAGAACAGAACAUUCUUCAGUCCUGAGGACCUGAGGAUUCUGACUCCUGACUCCA